rnacentral:rRNA from 1 species
AGGAUGAACGCUGGCGGCGUGCCUAAUACAUGCAAGUCGAACGAGGUGCUUUUGUAGCAAUACGAGAGUAUCCUAGUGGCGAACGGGUGAGUAACGCGUUGGUGACCUACCCCAAAGUGUGGGAUAACAGUCCGAAAGGAUUGCUAAUACCGCAUGUGGUCUUCGGAUUUAGAAACUGAUGACUAAAGGAGCAAUUCGCUUUGGGAGGGACCUGCGUCCCAUCAGCUAGUUGGUGAGGUAACGGCUCACCAAGGCGACGACGGGUAGGGGACCUGAGAGGGUGGCCCCCCACAAUGGAACUGAAACACGGUCCAUACACCUACGGGUGGCAGCAGUAGGGAAUAUUGCUCAAUGGGCGAAAGCCUGAAGCAGCAACGCCGCGUGUGCGAUGAAGGCCUUCGGGUCGUAAAGCACUUUUCUGGGAGAUGAGAAAGGACAGUAUCCCAGGAAUAAGUCUCGGCUAACUACGUGCCAGCAGCCGCGGUAAAACGUAGGAGGCAAGCGUUAUCCGGAUUCACUGGGCGUAAAGCGCGUGCAGGUGGCGCGGUAAGUUAGGCGUGAAAUCUCCCGGCUCAACUGGGAGAGGUCGUCUAAUACUACCGUGCUUGAGAGCAGAAGAGGAAGAUGGAAUUCCCGGUGUAGUGGUGAAAUGCGUAGAUAUCGGGAGGAACACCAGUGGCGAAGGCGAUCUUCUGGUCUGUUUCUGACACUCAUACGCGACAGCUAGGGUAGUAAACGGGAUUAGAGACCCCGGUAAUCCUAGCCGUAAACGAUGUGAACUUGGCGUUGGUGGGUUAAACUCCAUCAGUGCCGUAGCAAACGCGAUAAGUUCACCGCCUGG